rnacentral:tRNA from 1 species
GUCACCAUGGUCUAAUGGUUAGGACACUAGCCUUUCACGCUGGCAAUACGGGUUCGAAUCCCGUUGGUGAUACCA